AUCCAGCUGAUGAAUCCCAAAUAGGACGAAACCUGUGUCCUAGAU
rfam:Schistosoma margrebowiei strain Zambia genome assembly, scaffold: SMRZ_contig0006616